UUAUCUCUGUAGAGUCUGCAUAUCAAUAAGCGGAGGAAAAGAAACUAACAAGGAUUCCCUUAGUAACGGCGAGUGAAGCGGGAAGAGCUCAAAUUUGAAAUCUUCAAGGUUUUACCUUGACGAAUUGUAGUUUAAAGAAGUGUUUUCUGCUGAAGUUUUGGUAAAAGUUCUUUGGAAUAGGACAUCAUAGAGGGUGAGAAUCCCGUAUUUGACCAUUAUUUUCAGCUUUGUGAUACACUUUCAAAGAGUCGGAUUGUUUGGGAAUGCAGUCCAAAAUGGGUGGUAAAUUUCAUCUAAAGCUAAAUAUUGGCGGGAGACCGAUAGCGAACAAGUACCGUGAGGGAAAGAUGAAAAGAACUUUGAAAAGAGAGUUAAACAGUACGUGAAAUUGUCAAAAGGGAAGCGUUUGACACCAGUGUUGUUUUCUCGAAAAUCAAUUAAAAAUGGCUGGAUUUUGUAUUGCGAUUGACCUUAUCAAGCUUCACUGCUACAUUUUUCCGUGUCUUUUUUAAUGCACUUUUCGUUUAACAAGUCAACAUCAGUUUCUUUUGUUGUAAAAGGGUCAUUGGAAGGUGGCUUUCUUUUCGGAGAAAGUGUUUAUAGCCUUUGACUUCUGCAAUCGGAGAGAUUGAGGUCUGCAGCGUAGAUCCUUCGGGGUUAGAUGCAUUUGUGCUAAGUUAUAGCCUUUCAUAGACAACUUGUUGACUAUGAUCAGUCAUGUAGCUUACUCGCUUAUGUCAUUUUACCUACGCUUAGGAUGUUGAUGUGAUACUGCGAGCA
rnacentral:rRNA from 1 species